rnacentral:lncRNA from 1 species
UAGGGUCUGAUCGCUGCCUGAGACACCAUAUCGGUACUCCUCAGAGUUGGUGGCUGCCAUGAGAUAGUCAUGUGUUCAGGAGUAACAUCCAGAAUAUUAAUAGGACCUGUUGGUGGCCCAGGAACAUCAAGAACAGUAAGAUGUACGGCUACUGUUUUGCUACCGGCUGCAUUGGAAACUGUGAUUUGAUAUUCCCCAGUGUCUCUCCUUAAGCAGUUCUUAAUGAGAAUAGACGCCUUGAUGGCUCCUCUGGCAGUUCUUGAUGACCAUGGAUGAGCUAAUGGCUGUGGUCUCAAUGGUGGCUUCUUGAGGAGCAUGCAGAGAAAUUGCUUUAGCCUCUGAUAAAUAAAACAGACUGCGAGGAAAAUUACAGCGAGGAAAUUACAGACAUCAUCUCCUUUGAACAGGGAAAAGGUAACAGUUACAUCUUUGAGAGGGGUGAGGAAUUUGAGCCGGAUUCCUAUCAAGAAAAAAAAGAAAGAA